CUAAGAUCUCUUCAUUCUAAUGUCACUUUGCUAUUUUAAACAUUUUAAAAAUCCCUUUUACAUUUGGAUUUUCAUUUGCCUCUUCCUCUUUAGAGGUUAAAUGGACUAUAUCUCCUGCUGUCCAGAGGGCCGAAUGUGUCAGAUGGCAGGACACUCUAAAAGACCACAGGGUGAAGCUAUCAAGCUCCCCCAGAAGAAUGGAGUCAGCAGGCUGAACUGGUUGCUGAGGUGUGUGUAUUUCAACCCCACAAGACCACACAGCAUCACCAUAUUUCCAAAUAAGAACUUUUAUUAAUCAAGCCAGCCAAGGAAAGCUGCUCUGUUUUGAAAGGAGCAUAUUCAAGUGAGAAACGGCUUGAGCAGUGGGGUGAUUUAAUACUUGUUAGCUGAUAAAUAUAGCCUUUGCCAGAAUAAAACUUUAUGAUGCAGUGUUGAAAAGCUUAAUUACUAAACUGUCUAUGCACGUCUUGCACAGGCAGCAAGGGUGACAAAUUAUAGCAGCAGAAUAGUAUUUUUCACCUUUGGCAUUUCUGAAGGGGAAAAGUAUGCCUCAAAAACAUUGAGAAAGCAGUAAUAAUCCCAGACCACAUAUUACUGAGGGGAAAAAAAGACACUUCAUUGAGUCACGAAGACUUCUGCACGAAAUGUCAUCAUCUCCACCCCCCCACACCCCACCCCCCGCCUACCCACUACUUUGUUAAGAGAACAGGUCAGUUUUACAUUUAUUUGGUCUUUAUACUUAUCCAAGCAUGUGAAUAUAUAUAUAUAUAUAUAUUAUAUAUUUUUCCACUUUUCAUCCUGCAAAAUAAGCAGAACAGGGAAUUCUUGUUCAUAUUAAACAAAUAAAGAAACUGAGUCGAGAACUUGGCCAGCUAAGGUCAUACAAUGAUAUCCCAGGACGAGAACCCAGGCUUCCCAUGACCCGUUGCUAUUUACUGGCACCAUGCUGCUGCCAGAUGAACAUGAUAAUUAAAGCUGAGCUGAAAUAUUAGUUGGGGGUACAGUCAGCACCAUGUGGUCCUCUUAUUGAUGUUUCAUUUCAGAGAGCUAACACUAAUCCUGAUGUGAUAUAUAUCGGAGUCUAAAAUGGAGCAAAGUCUCCAGAAGUACUGGCUAAAUGAUUUAUACUCCUGUUAUUUUCAUUCGCUGGUUUAUUUCCUUCUUUGGGGGCACUCACUGGGAGAAAUAGCUGCAUCCUAAUGACACUGAAUUUCCACCCAGCAGUAGCUGUUUGGUCUACAGUCUUGCUCUGCGUUCAUCCUUCUGUCUGUAUUUCCCUUUGUGUCUUUGUUCUCCCUGUUUCAUUCUUCUCUCCCAGUUUCUGCCAUUUCUUCCUACUUUUAAUUUUUUUCUUCUGUUCUUCUCCUAUGCUCAAUUCUCCAACCUCAGAAAAACCUGGAAUAUAACGUAAUUACAUUAUGAUUCAUAGUAUUUGGUACUUCCUUAUUUUAACGUAUCAGAGUUUUGUUUUGUUCCUAAAAUGUAAAGUUCUUGAUUUUGUUUGUUAUUCAAGUGGAUGACCCUUGUUUUGAUUUUCAAAAGGGAUGCAAGAAUUUAAAAUUGACUGUAGCUUUCAAGAAUCCCAGUGCUAACAACAACAACAACAACAACAACAAAACUUGUACAGUUUCUUUUCUCUACUUCUUUACUCCUCCUAUCACAUAUGUACAAAGCAUAGUGCCAAGUUCUCUGGCAGACAUAAAGGAAUGUAACCAGCAAUACCCAUCCCAAGAUUCUACCUAGGGAAGGCAAGACCCAGGGAGUGGGAGGCAGGGUAAAGGUACAUUGCAUUAGUCAGUUUUCCAUUACUAUAACAAAAUAUCUGAGGCUGAAUACCAAGAAAAGAAGUUGAUUUUGUUCACACUUUUGGAGAUUUGGUUUCAUCUUGGCUCUGGUGAAGGCCUCAGGACAGAGCAUCACAAAUAGUGGGAAUACAGAAGAGAGAGAGGUGUCAGGAAGCCAGCAAGGGACAAGUAACAGUCUUACAUGCUAGGCUACCACUGAGCUACAUCCCCAAUCCUUUUUACUUUAAUUUGAGACAGACUCUCACUGAAUUACCCAGGAGAGCCUCAAACUUGUGAUCCUCCAGCCUGAACCUCCUAGGUCACUGGAAUUAUGGUUGUGUACCACUGUGCCUGGUUUAGACUCCACCUCUUAAAGGCCCCACUACCUCUUAACAUCACCACACUGAGGAUCAUGUUCCCAACACAUGAAUCCUUAAGGGACACUCAACCCAUAUCCAAACCAUGGCAUACAUGUUGGUACAGUGCAGGCAAUGAAUAAGAUGCUAGAUAGUCCUAAGAGAAAUGUUUCCUUGAGGAACAGAGGGUCCCCGAACAGACAGAGAUACAACAGUCAAAGGCACCAGACAGCUUCUUUCCCCUUUACAUCAUAACUGGGCAGACCUAGCUGACUUCAGGAAUCCAAACUGCAUAUGGGUAUAAUCAUGAUAAGCUAGUUGUUUCUGUGGAGAAGCCUCAGAAAGUAUGCUACGGCAAGACAAAAGAGCCCUAACAAACCUCAUGCUAUCUGGAGAGACUAAGCUGCUCUAUUCCAAUCUAGAAUGUACUGUAUUUUAGCCAGAAUCCUCUGACCCAAUAAGCCAGGAAAAGGUGAAAUGGUUGUGUGGCCCAUAUUUCCUUCUAAACAGUAAGUAUUAUGUACUUCAGAUAUCACAGCAGAAUCCAUCAGAAGAAUCUGCUAAGGGGAAAGAAUCUCUAAGAGAUUGUUAAUUAAAAAGGCAUUGAAAUGUCUAAGCCUAGAGGCAUUAGGAGAGCAUUUAGACCAGUUGUUCUUAACCAACUUAAACUUUGAACUCAUCUGAGAAGCUGUAGAAAGCAAUGAAUCUUCUCAUAACAAUAACAGAAACAACCAUACAUGUAUGCCCAUAGAAUUUGCAUACCAUUUAAGGCCUAUUUUUUAGCUGCUUCUUUUUGUAAAUAAAGUUUUACUGGAAUACAAGCCUGGCCCACUCAUUUCUUAUUGUCUAUGGCAGUUUUUUGCUCUACAAAACUAUAAAAAGUGUUUCAGAUAUAGGCCUUAUUGUUUGAAAAGUCUAAAAUAGUUACUAUAUGGCCCUCUAAGAAAAAGUUUACUUACCCCUGUUUUUAGGAGAUUACAAACCUAUAAAACUAUUUCUGGACACUCAGGGGUCUAGGGACCCCAGAUUAAAAAAUUCCAAAUCUCAAUCCUAUCACUUUAUGUAAAUGCAGGAUUAUUUUAGAUGCACACACCUGAUACAUUGUUCCUUGAUCCUGUGCCCCAGUAUAAAUUCUUUAAGGCAAACAUGUAACUUUGCAGUUAAGAACAUGUCCUUUGGGGUUUAAUAGAUCUACUUUUUAAUAUUGAGAAGAUUUUGCUCCUCAUAGUGUGGUCUUCAGGCAUUUAAACAAUCCCACUUAACCUCCUUUUUCAUCUGAAAAAAUGAAUUAAUGGUACCUACUUCAUAAGGUAGUUACAAGGCUUAAAGUUGCAUACAAGUAUGUGUUAGGAGAGUAUGGACACAGUUAAGUGCUAAUAAAUGAUAACUUAUGAUGAUGUUGGUGAUAAGGAAGGAGGAAGAAAGGAAGAAAGGUUUGAGAAGAUCCUGCUGUCUCUGAGGCCUCUGGGAAGGCGAUUUCUUUGGCAUUUCUUUUUUUUUUUUUUAAUAUUUAUUUAUUUUUUUUAGUUUUUGGCGGACACAACAUCUUUGUUUUUUGUAUGUGGUGCUGAGGAUCGAACCCGGGCCGUACGCAUGCCAGGCAAGUGCGCUACCACUUGAGCCACAUCCCCAGCCCAUCUUUGACAUUUCUUGAUAGGAGAAUUUAUGCACUGAAAGCAAACUAUGGUGGAACUCUGGAACUUACAAAUUCUAUGAAACAGAAUAUCAGUGUCUACCUGCAAUCGACUAUGGCAUCUUCCUCUUUUCCUGUUCCAGUCCAUAAAGAGACAACCCGCUUAGAGAAAAUUCGGUGUGCUCCAGUGUACCUUGGAAAGAAACCAGGAAAUGUCAUUACCAGGCAUAAGGAUGAUAUGAAAUAGAAGCAUUCUAACAAAUGGUCUUUUUUCUUAGCAAGUGUAUGUACUGAAUGCAAAGAAUUGCACGCUUGGAUUGGAUUCUGCUGAAGAUUAUUUACUUAAUCUCUGAAACACUGUGAAAACUAGGAGUGAGUUAGUUCACAUUCUUAACAUGUUUGGCUAAGUAUGCAGAUUCAUUUCCUGUCCCUGGCCUUCAUUUUAAAAAACUCAGUUCCCGGCGGUUUUCAUGACAUCUGAAUCCACUACUUACUAGAUGUAAAAUCUUGGACCAAUUUCUUCUGUCUUAUGUCUUCAUUUAUAAAAUGUGUAUACUAAUUUUACCUACUUUAGGAUUAUUCUGAUGGUGUUUAGUAUUGUGCUCUGCAUAUAGAAAAAUCUUCAGUAAUCUCAGCUGUAGCUACACUCUCCAUACAUCAUUUCUAUUUAUAGUCAUUAGGUAAUCUCAAAGCUCUUACUUUAUGCUGCUUCCCAUUAUUUGGUGGAGAAAUGGAGGGGAGAUGGAAAACUGCUCUACCAUUUGAAACAGCCUAAUAAACACAUGUACUUCACUUCUUAACAUACUACAUACUAUUCAAAUUUUCUGCUGAGGAAAGCCAGAAAUUCAAGUAGAAAAGUAAAUCUUAAGGACAGAAACCUGCUGAGUCUGUUUUAUGGUUUUCUACUUGAAAAGCUGGAGUCAUAUAUACUGAAAUUAAAAUUACGAAUAAUUGAGUUACCUAGAAAAGAAGGUUAUGUGAACUUCAAUUUAAAUACUGAUUAACUAGAAAUCCUUUUUUGCACCAACUCUUGCAUUACUAUCUUUCCAAAAUGCUUGGUUCACUGUUUUCUUUUUUACUUUAGUGCCAAUGAUAUAGACAGUAUAAUAAAGUUGAAUGGAUUUUGCAAAGUCUUGAUGUCAGGGUUUCAUUAAAAUGUAGUAAGCUUUUUGGAGACAGAGAUUUUUGUCUUUUUUCUUCACCUUAAAAUCCCCAGUGUCCAAAAAGUGUGGGCCGUUGAAUGAAAGAUUCAAGAACAUUCAGACUAUCAGCAAUUAGGAAACUAUACAGGAUUAUGUAACUAACUAAUGCAGAAAAAAAAAUAGACAAUUAACAAUUUGAAGUGUGACAAGGUACAAAUAAAAGAAAAUGGGGAAAAAAUUGAGUCUUACCUGUGAAUGUAUAAGCUCCACAAAAACAAAAAUCAUGUGAGACUUACCGAAAGUAUAUCUUCAAACCCUAGUAAUGCCACAUAUUAGCCCUUUGAAUAAAAUUUUUAUUGAAUAAUCAAAUGAUUUAAAGAAUCAAAAUCUAAGUGAAAAUGAGUACUACAUUCUUUAAAAAUCGAUAAAACUAUCCUAGAUAUACAACAUGUAACACGGGCCAUCUCUGUGUAUUUGGUGUUUGUAUAUGCACAUGUGUGUGCCACAGUGGUGGUAGGGAAGGUGAAUGAUAUUGUUCUUUUGAAAAUUUUAAUCAUCAUGGCUCCUAUGGUGGCAUUUUCUGCUAUUGUGGUUUAUCACUAACCAGCAACAUACAAUCAGGGUUAAUUGGCUAAUAUUUUUAUUUUCUUGAUAUUCUUUAUUAAAAUUAUUCAAAGGUGACAGGAGUUAGGCUUAAAGUCAGACCCAUUUCUAUCAGACAGUUGUCAACCUCAAAUGUGCACCAUAUACUUUAACCAUGAUAGUAAGCCAUGUUUAUUUACCCUUUGGAAGAUAAUCUAUUUACUGUGAACCAAAAGAUGGUCAGAUUAGUGAAUGCAUUGUGGAGGGAAAAAAAGGCAAAUGUGACUCGGUUGACAAAUUAGUUCUAUAAAUAAGAAAGAGCUAAAAGAAUAAAUAUUAAUAGUUGAAAUAGUAAAUGCCUUAUAAUUAUUUCAAUAGUUGCUGAAAUUAUGUGACAGAAUUUAACAUGCAUUAUAUACUAUAACAAAUAUCACAAGAAAGAAUAAAUCAAUAAAACCUUUCAUAUUAGACUUGGAAAAAGUUAAAGAUUCUUGCCUCAAUGCUCUAAAAUCUCUAGUGUGUGAUUAAGACCUGGAAAAUGCAUAAGGGGUGUGAAUGUUGAGAAAGCAAAAUGAUUACUCAUUGCUGUCAAUAUGGUUAUAGUCAGGAAUUCAAGUAAACUAACUUAUAAAUUAAUAAGAAAUUACUGGAAAGGCUAAACUAUAAACAUUUAAAAUCAAUAGCUUUUCUACAUGCCAUAAUUAUCAAUGUAAAUAUGUUUUAUGCAUAAUGUUAUUAAUAGAAAAAAACAGAAUACAAAGAAAUAGCCCCAGAAAAAUAUAUACAGAAUUUAUACAAGAAAAAAUUUUCAGAUUUUUACUAAAUAAUAUUUUUUAAAGAUUAGAAUAAGUGGAAAGAUAUAGUGUCCUUAGAGAGAGAUAGUGAAUAUUAUGAAUUCUUUCUUAUUUUCUCCUAGUUAAUAUAUAGGUUAUGCACAAAUAACUGUGGGAUUUCUAAUCUAAAAAAUUUUUUCCUUAAAUCAAUCCAGAAAAAAAUUAAAAGGUAAAAAUAAUAAGUUAUGAGCUAUAAGGUAAUAUCUAUAGAAAUUUUAUCCAUUAUAAAAAUAUUAGAGGAGAUAAAUCAGUUUGCCAUUGGUCCAAGAAUUGACACAAAUCAAUAAAAAAUAAAUAGCUAUAACACAGCACUAAUGUGAUAAAGAAAGAAAUACAAAAACCAAUGACAAGGGAAGAAUUAUUUAACAGAUGAUUUGAAGAAAACUGACAAGCUAUUUAUUUCUUUUAAAAAAAUCAGCUGUGAUUCUAUUCUUACCAAACAGUAUUUGCAUUUGAAAAGAGAAGGGCAUUAUACAUCAUCUAGUAAAGAAUGAGGCCAACCUUUCUAUUGCUCUUCCUCUUAAAAUCUUGUUUAACAGGAAAAAAAAAAACCAGACAAAUGCAAAUGCAUAUGAACAUGUUUUAUCUCAUGAUUGAUCAAAAUGUGUACCUAUGUGUAUAUGUUUGUGUAUUUAAAAUCAUAUUCUGCCUCAUAAGUAAAUAGAAAAACAGAAGUUAAAACUACAAUGAAAUGUGACUCUCAACCUACCAAAGUAGUAUCAUUUUUAAAAAGACUAAUUGUAAAAAGAAAUUUUUUCAAAUGACUGGCAGAAGAAAAAGCUUUUGCAAUCUCUUUGCAAAGUAAAUGACAAUAUGUAUCAAAUGUGUCUUUCUUUUUUUAUAUCAUAUUUACUUUAAUAUUUUCAAAUGUGUUUUUUGAAAGCAUGUUUUUUAACUUAAUGACUCUACAUCUAGGAAUCUGGCAUAAAGAAAAUACUCAAGAAUGCAGAUAAUGAUUUGUCUGCAAUAUGUUUACUUAAGCACUAGUUACACUGGAGAAAAACUGGUAACAACCUAAAUAAACACUAAUAGGAAAUGGUUGAAUAUUUUCUAAUAGAUCGAAAUAGUGGAAUUUAAUGUAGGGAUUUUUAAAAAAUGUGCUUUCAAAAGCACAUUUGUCCAUCUGGAAUAUAACUUCUGAUACAGUAGUACAAGAAAACCCACAAUACAAUAUGCUCUUUUCUUUUUUACAACAUAAAGUGUGUGUAAUAUGUGUUUAUGUGUAUACAUAAAUAAAAGCUAAAAGAAAACAUUAAAAUAAAGCCCUUAAAGUGGUGGGAUUUUGAGUGGUAUUUUUUUCUUUUAUUUUCCGUAUACUUCUCUGUAUUUUUACAAUGAGGGGCAACCACCAAUUGGCUUUGUCUUGCAUUGAUUCAGAGGGCAGAACCAAGCCUUAUAGCAACAGGAAAGCUAUUGAAGCUAAUAUCAGAAAGAAAUUUCUAACAAGCAGAAAUUUCCAAUGUGGAGCAGACCUCUGGAGGCGUCUGCCAUCAAGAGGAGUGUUCCAGCAGAGGCUGGGAGGUCACCAUCCAGAGUGCUCCACAGUGGGGAAAGGUCAUUCGACUGUGCUUCCCAGCCCUGGCUGGGCCACAGAAUCACCUGAGGAGAGGAUAGAGUGCAGAUUUCUGGGUCACAAGUCCUGUCUGACUGAAUUGAAGAUCCAGGACUGUGAUCUGGGGAUCUGCAUUCGUCUAUAGUUCCCUAGUGAAUUCAGCAACCUGAGACAAAGUGUCUACAAGUGAAAACCCCCACCUUAGAUUCUUAAGGCUGUUAAGGCUGCUUCCAGAUUGAAGACUCAAAGUGGUUCUGCAAAUCAAAGGGCUACAGAUUACCUAUCUGUGUUAUUAAACACACACACACACACACACACACAUUAUAUUAUAGAUGCAAAGAUGCAAACGGAGGUUGGCUGGGGUUGGAAGGGACUCAUUUGAAGCACAGGACUACAAACUGUUUUUACUAAUUUGGACAUUGAACCUCUGGUCUACUGGCCCUUGCUUUGUAGCCUGCAUGACAGAAUGUCCUUGUUCUUAGAAAAUACUUAUUGCAAUAUUUAGCAGUAAACAGGCAUUUUGUUUAUGACUAACUCUGAAUGGUUCCGAAGAAAACAGUUAUUUAGGGGUAGAUAAAAUAGAAGGCUAGAUGAAUUCAAGAAAAACUGUAAACAGGACUAAACUGGAAAUUUAAGCCAAAGAUAAAUGGGGAUUUUGUCCCCUUUUUGCAUCAUUUCUGUAAGCUUGAAAUUACGUUUUUAAAAAAUUACCUUUCAAAAAUGAGAAUCAAAAGACAUCAAGGCAAUUGCAAUCUCUAGGCUACCUGAAUUAAAAUCACCAGGGCUGUUUUCUCAUGGAUUCAUUUAUUCAACCAACAGGUGAUCAAGGACCUAUUCUAUACCAGGCUAUCCAUUCAAAGCACUUAAGGUAUAUCAGGGAUCAAUACAGUUUCCUGUCACAUAGCGGUUACAUUCAAGUAAGGUUAAUGUAAAAUUCAGAUUCAUGGGCCCUGGACUCACUGAAGUAGCAUCUCUGGAGAAGGGAUCAGGAAUCCACAUUAUACUAAAUAUUCCUAAGGAGCUGCUUAUAUGUACCAAUGUGGUGUAGUUUUUAAAAUAUGGACUUUAACCUGUAAGUGGUUCACUAUGGCAAUUUAGGAAGCCAAGAUUUUCUUUUUUAAUUAAAAUAACAGAGAAAAGACCAUGAAAAAUGAAAUUAGGAUACUGAAACAAGGAAAGAGUAACUAUUAUUUCACAAAACUCUUGUUUCUGUGCCUUGCAUCACAAGGUAAACUGAGUUUCAUCUGGAAAAUAAUUACUAGAAAAUACUAUAUAUAAAAUACACCGCUGAUCCAGUUCUUCCCAGCCCCCUGCACACACCAGUUCUUUCUUAGUCCAAAUCUGGAAGCACAGAGAUCCUGGAGCACAGAAACCACUUAAGAGGGACAGUCUGUUCUGGGAAGUUGACUCACAAGGAAUAUCCCUGAUAUGAUAAUACUUCCUUUUUCUUCUGGGCUGAGCCCGGAGCAGCAUUCUCCCACAGAUGGCAAUGUCUCUAGCACAUGUUGCCUCAUUUUCUUUGAUAGACAUGACAUGGCACACCACACUCUCCAUCCCAGCACUGAAUGGCAGAGGUAAAGCAACAGAUGAAAGGAAAUCCUAGGACCAAAUGUUGCCAUUUUUGAGGAUGGUUUUUUGAAGAACAGGAACAUAGAACAAAACAUAACCAGUUUUUCAGGCCAAAGUGCUGAUUCAGGCUCCUUAUAGCAGGUCAAAACCACAUGCAACCCCUACUUUGUGAUCCAGAUAAGAGAUACCCAUUGUCUUAAUCAAAAUGAAGCAGUAUGGGGUGAACAAACCCGCAAGACAAGUUGAGAAGUCCACCCAGGCACUCUGGGAACCCAAGAGCCUGUUUAGCUAAGCAGGCCAGGGAUGUUACUGUGGUUUACUUGUGAGCUGGUGCGGAAGUUCUGCUGUCACUAAGAAGAGAAAUCCAAAGGCUAGUUCAACAUAAAUGCCCACCCCCAGCUCCCGGGGUGCAUUGAGGGCAAUCACAGGUGAGUCAUAAGCAGGGUGGAAAAAGUAGAGAUGCCCUCCAGAGUCCGGAGACAAGCUGCUUUUAUCAAGCAAGAGAGUGUCUCAUAAGGAACUGAAAAUGGAAUUACUCAAAUCAAAAACUGCUGUCCUCACCAGUAUGAUUCCUUUCCUGACCCAAGUCUGGGAAGUGCCACCAUAAACUCCCCAGAUACAAAUUUGCUCAUCUGAGAAGGACAGCACUAGACAUUCUCAGAGGUACUCAGUGGCAUUUUCACAGCAUUGGAAGCCAAGCCUCUUCUACCUCAAACCAAAUCACUGAAAUGCUUGAUUCUGUACAGUUGUGGUAAAAAUGCCCUCUAUCAAAGACAGGCUACAAUACCACAAGCCAAAGAUAAAUAACAGAGGAAAUGAUCAAGAGUGUGACCUCUUGCUGACCCUUGGAGCUAAAUCUUUGCUAGACCUCAGAAUAUCAAAGAGGCUACCAGCCCGCCAAGAGCGAUUUAUGCAUUAACAGCAUGGAAGCCACCUGAAGCAGCAGAAGCCUGGCUCUCCAGAAGUCUGAGGAGAAAGAGCCCAAAGAAAUUUCUGGUUCUAUCCUCCAAAGCAAGGUUUUAUUCACACUUCAAAUGAAGAAAUCCUUUCCCUUUAAAGUAAUCCAGAAAAGGUAUUUUCCAUUUGCUCAGGAGUUGGGAUUGUGUUAUUUCCUGUCCGGUAUUGAGAUAUUAGCAUUUGAAAAAUGUGGUCUCCCACUAACUAGCAAAGAAAAUGAACUGAAAAUGCAAGGGCCUCCCCCUCCUCCUCUUCCUCCUCCUCCUUUUGCUGCAGAUUUUGGUUAUGCAUUCAACUCGGCAAACAUGUGGAGCGUUUGCUAUUUGAGAAGUAUCGUGCUGAGUUCUCAGAGGAUGCUGGGUAGAGCAAGACUCAAGUUGUUCAUGGAGGGAAGAACAGGUUCCUUUCUCAGAAGAAUAUCUCUGACUCAAAAGACUCCAGGUUACCACUUUCAGUUUAGGAAACACAGAGACACAAGGUAGCAAACUGAGACUGAAUCUAACAAGCAAGAGUUGGCUCCUAAAUUGCUGAUGGAGUGCCUAACCUGAAGGCUGAGGCAAAUGCAGUUAAAUCCUCAGAAUAAAAGGUAUGAAGAGAAACCAGAAGGCAGAACCUGACCAUCAGUAGAAAGGAGAUUUUGACCUGACCACACAAGGAGUUCAAACAGAUCAAAUUUGCAUUUCCUAGCUCCAAGACACUACAGAGUAGCAAGGACAGAGAUUAUGGGUAGAGGUAGGUGUCAUUAUCUCUUUCCUCUUGUCAAAGAGAUAGUCUCACUCCUGGAAACCAAAAAGGCCUCAAUAUUUACAAAAUGUACGUCUGGCUGGGUGUGGUGUUACAUGCCUGUAAUCCCAGCAGUUUAGGAGGCUGAGGCAAGAGGAUUGCAAGUUCAAAGCCAGCCUCAGCAACUUGGUGAGGCCCUAAACAACUUAGCAAGACCCCAUUUCAAAAUAAAAAUUUGUAAAAAGGGCUGAGGAUGUGUCUCCUUGUUUAAGCACCCCUGAGUUCAGUCUUCAGUAACCCCCAAAAAAGAGUUUCCCAUUGGACUAGAAAAAGAAGAAUUAAGGCUAGAUUUGCUAUAGCUGUGUCUUUUUAUGCAGCAAACCUGGAGCUGCCAGGGAGCCCACAAGCUCAAGAAUAAAGUUAACACCAUGAAAAGUGGAGCCAAGAGACGGAGACAAACAAACCUAAUGGCAUCAUUGCACCAUGAACCCUGACCUGGCCAUUUUAGUUUUAUGAAUUAAUAAGGUCCUUAUUUAGCUUAAGUGAACUUGAUUUUCUUUUGAAACUUUAAUUCUAAUGAGAGAGAUAUACAACAGAUGGGAGCUAUGGAUUCAAUACACAUCCUCCAGCCCUCCUCCCACCCCACCCCACCAACCCGCCCAUUGCACAGCCAAGUCUAGUCAGGGGAAAUUUCAUUUUUUUCCUUAAUCAAUCAUAAUACCUCAGCCAUGGAGGUGGGAGGGCAUUUGGAAAAAUAUGAAGAACUUACUUGUUGGUGACUGGAGGUGGGAGCAUAUCUGGCUUUUAAUGGACAUGGGCCAGGGAUACUAAAUGAUCUGAAGGGUUUAAGUUCAUUCUUAGUCCCAUCCAAAACACCAGCAACCGCACCCUUGAAAAGCCCUAAUGGAGUGAAAGUAGAUAUUGAAAUCCAACUUAGAACUGGAGGCAAGCCUGAACAGAGAUCUAGUUGGUAUUGCUUUAAUAGAAGAAUCAAAAGGAAAUUCAAAGCCUAAGAAAAGUAGAAAAUCAAAGAAAAUACCGUCCUUCAUGCAUCCUUCAACCAGUGUCAACCAUUCAAAGAACUUUUUUGUUUACUAGCAAAACUUACCCCAAAGUUUUUCCCCCUAUGAUUAUAAACUCAUAGAAUUGCUUUCUUCUCAUAAUAUUUAAUAUUGAAAUUUCUCUAAGAACAGCCCAACUCCAUCAGGCUGUGUCCUCUCUUCAGUGUGAUUUCUGUGUCCCUUAAGAAGACACUUGAGUCAUGUGUCUUCCUAGAUAUAUCCCAUUCAGAUUUUCAUUUCCCCUCUUCCUCCUGUCCUCUCUGCCUCCUUUCUGAGGCUUCCCACCAACGACGAUCUUUUUGAAAAGUACCCAAACUCAAAAUAUGAAGGUUUGACUUUAUUGUUCAGAUAUCUUCAAUUUGUAGGUUUUUUGCUCUCCUUGGUUAAGCUUAAAUUACGAAUUGGUAGGGUUAUUCUCCAGGAGAGUAGCCAGUCCUUUUGUUUUAUAGCAUCUUAUAUAUGUUGCUUCUUGAGUUUGAAAUAAUGUGUCCUCAAACAUCCUCCAAGUGUCCAGCAUCUUGGCCCUCGAAGAUUUGUAACUUAUUGAAAACAAUUGUUUGGGUCUUCUAAAAAAUAAGCAGGGAUGGUAUUCAGAUGGCAAUGCAGGUCUGACACCUGCACCAAGAAAGAAGGAAUGAAGGGGGUCUCCACGGGAAGAGCCAAUCCCUAUAGUAAACCUCAAAAUGAUCUCAGCUUUGCCAUUUGAGAGCCCCCAGAGCAAAAAUUGCCUCCUAGAGAAAAAAAAUGGCCCAGGAAGAAAUGGCCGAGAUCUUGUGCUCAGUGGCCGACUACCAGCCAACUACCUUCCUCACAGCAGUUUCUCUUAAAGGAAGAUCUGAGUGUUGUACCUACUAACAGUCACAUUGGACAUUGUGGGUAGUUUUAUAAGGGAAGUUGCUUGACAUAAGGUGUGUAUGUGUGCGCACAUGCAUGCUCAAAAGAAAGGAGAUUGCCUUGAAAGUAGGAAUCUGAACUGUGACAUGAUAAAACAGUGGAAACCACAAUAGAAUCUGUCUGGGAGACCAAGUCCCACCCCAACUUCUAGGCUUUGGGUUCAGUUGAAAGAGAACAAUUUCACACCACUUUCAAAAGCAAAGGCAUUAGAAAUGGAGCUGCCUGGCCCGGAGGGCAAAGCAUUCUGGGAACACAGGGCAUCCAGCAUGCUGUGUUCAUCGUAAAGGGGAAAAGCCCUCUGUUUUGACCAGGAAUCAGGGGAGUUAUUUUGGGAGCAGCCUCGUCAGUGACCCAGAUGUUACCAUUGGAGUUUCAAAGUUCUGAAGAACACAAGCCUUGAGAGUGCUUUUCCACUGCCCUGUAUUUCUUUCUUCACGGGGCUUUUUUGUACAAAUCUGCUACAAAUCCAGCAUUCAUUCUCAGCGGAGCCUACAGAGAGGAGGGCCAUUAUCAUUAGAGAGGGUGAGCCUUCCUGGGAAGUGACUUGCCUGCCCACUCAGGGGACCUGUGGCUUACCGUCACAUGACUAUAUGGCCUGGGGAGAAAGCACUCGGAAUUUGCACAUACACACCAAAUUUUACAAGUCUGUCUUUUGGUCAGUAAAGUGGCAUAUAUAAAAAAGCCCAAGAAAUGACAAUCAUUUUUGUUAUCCUUGUGAUGUUUUCUGAAUGAAUUUCUCUGAUGUGAACUGCUUUGUGCUGUCUACUGGGGAGAUGAAGGAAAGGAAUCCUAGCCCUAAAAGAAUGAUUGAUUAAUUCCCCUCUCAGGCCACCUGUGAGUAAUCCCAGACUCUCCUCUUACUUGAAAGGGAAAGAUAAAUUAGUUAUAAUAACCAGAAUUAUUUGGGUCCUUCUGCAUUAUCUCAUUUUAUACAUAGGAUAACCCUAUCAGGAAGGUAUUGCUGGAGCUGAGGGGGGAAAGAAAAAAGAUAUUAUGCCAUUCUCCUCCUUGGACAGAUGAGGACACGUAGACUCAGAAAGCUUAAGUAAUUAACCUAAACUAACUAAUCCAAUCAGCGAAUAGUUCAGCUGAGACUUGAACUCUGGUCAGUUUGAUCUCAUAGCUGUACCCUUCACCAUGUUCUCAUACUUCCCCAUCAGUGCACUCAGGGCAGUACAGGUUUUGCACAGCAUGAGUUUAUACAGUUUGAGGUAGUAUAAGUGUGAAGGGGGAGAAGAAGUCUUCUUUAAGAAAAAAAUUUUUUUAAAAAAGUAUAAUAUAUAUUUAUGAUAUUUUAUAAUAUAUUUUGUAUAUAUAUGAUAUAUAUUUUGUAUAUAUAUAAACAAAAUUCAAUAUGAGACCUUAGAAGGCAGAGAAGAUGGAGGGUAGGCUUCAUUGGCUUCACAGUAAAUAACUUUGAUUGUAUAAAACCUGUUGUUGCCAACAAUAUUAUUAGGAAGAAGAAGAAUUCUUCAAGUUCACAUACAUGAGAAUUUCAUUGAUGGUUCAAGAUUUUUGGAUUGCUUUCAGAUACCAAAGUUGUUCUAGACGUUCAGAGACACCACAUGACCCUUUCCAGCCACCAUAUAGUGUCUGCAUCUGAGUCACACACCCCCAGCUCAAAUUCUCUUCAUGAAUUCCACUUCCCACCUGCCUCAUCUUCUCUUCAGUUAUCCUUGCAUUUCUGUUGGCCAUACUUCUGUCAUCUUCUUCACAACAUUGAUGUCUUCUGCCAGGUUGGAAAUGGGGAUUUUCUUCCUCACUCAGAUGAGAAUUGGAAUCUUUGGCAGCUCCUCCUUCCUGUGUCUUUUCAAUUUCACUUUGCUAACUGCACAGAAGGUGAGACAUUCAAAAAUGAUUCUCAACCAAAUGGUCUUAGCCAAUCACUGAGUUUUCUAAAAGAUGCUUCUUGAAAAUGAUGAUUACAAUAAUUUGGUAUGCCUUAGACCAUAUUUUAAUGCUAAGUAGGUAGAAACCAGUAUGUAAUGGCAUUUGCUAUUAUUCACAUGAAAUUUUGAAUUAGAAAAUGAUUCAAGUCCACAGGGUGGAUGUUCAGAGAAUUCUAGGACAUCCAAAAUGCUCUUCAGCUUAAGGGAUUUGAGCUCACUAGCAACAGAGCAUUAAACCACAGUUUUCCCCCCACAUCCUCACAAUCAAUGCAGCAGAACGAUCUAGGUUCCAGUGAUGGGACUAGCCUGUCUUUCCUAAUAUCCACACAUCACAAGGGUGGAUGUAGCCACUAAAACUCCCAAGGUAAGAGUACUUCUGCAGAAGAUGAUCAAAUGGAGCCUAUCAUGGCUUCAUAGCCAGCCCAUAGGCCUGGGACUUGGUCCUAAGCACCCGCUGCUCUCACCUUAAAACUGGGAUCUGUCACUUUCCCCAUUACCUCAGUUUGCCCACUGAUAAAAGGUAAGAAUGAAUAUUUGCAGUCAUCAAGUAAUGAUUGCAGUUUGCAUGGAAAUCUCCCAGUGAUUAGUGCAGCCAUGAUUAAAAUGCAUAACUGGGCUCUACAGUUUAAAUACAUUAUCUCAUGAUGUUUCCCCCAAUUGUGCUAGGAAGAUGUGAUAUCUUCUUUGUACAGCCAUGAACUAAGGCUCAGAGAAAUUAGUUAAUUUGCCCAAAGGCACCAGAGCAGAGUCAGGGUUUGUAUCUGACCUCAAAGACUGUUCUUUCUACCACUCAAAUUAGAUUCAAUUUAACAGGAUCUAUAUAGAAUGCAGAGUCCUAAACAUUUGUACUUAGGGUCCCAAGUCCUCUGAAAAUGUAUACCUAGAAUCUCUGGUAGGAAUUAAUAUUAAUGUCAUUGUCAGGCAACAAUAUUUAUAAACUACCUACCAGGAAGAAUGGCAAUAACACUUUUUACUCCAAGCCCCUUUAUACUUUCUUAAAGUACUAUCUAUAUUUAUUUUUGCAUUUUUACUCUCCCAGAAAUACUUUGAGUUCUUAGAGAAAAAGGAAACUGGUGCCCAUAGAGGUCAAAGGACUUGCCUGGUCAAUUAUAAGGUACUCUGACUCUUCACCUAGUGGAAUUACUUUUGUGGGGAAGGAUGUGUGCUUAUACAUGUCUGAUUUAAUUAUUUAAUGUAUUUUUAAGGUAAAAUAAUAAGUGUUUAUCAUAACAAAUCAAAUAACAACACACUUGCUUUAGAGGUUAAUCACCUUCCCCUUUCUUCUUCCAUUCACACGUGCCUCAAGUUAUCCAUGGUCAUGGCUCCGUGUAUAAUCUUCCACUCCAGACUGGAAAUUCGUGGUAGGAAAGAUUAUAUCAUCCACUGAGUCACGGAGUAAAAGGCAGUUCCUCCAGGAAGUCAAGAAGGGUGAUGUUACAAUUUUUGGCACACAAAGCCAUCGGAGAUGCUCCCACUGACUCUAGACUCUGUUUCUGCUUCCCACUUACCCCAUGCCUGAUUCUCCUUCCUAGUCUGGUCGCCCAGCCUGGAUACAAACGAGGCUCCAGGGUUCAUUGCCACUGGUGAAGCUUGAUGUGCCCUCAGUUUGUCACCCACUUGACGCAAUAUCUGUUCAUCCGAGUGCUUUAAAAAAUUGUGAGCCAUACCCACUCUGUCACCCUAGCCAGCUGCCCAUAUUUCCUCUGAGGGUGUUGUGGUCUCUAAGGAUGAUGUUAUAAAAUCUUUGAAUUAGGAAUGAAAUCUUGGUGCACCCUAUGCUGCAUAUAAAUGCCCAGAGUUCUUCCAUCAAUCCCUUUCUGCCAUUCUCCUGACCAUGUAAGAGUGUCUCUUGGGCUCUGUCUUAAGAUUGUUUUACAAUCACUUAACUUACACUCACAUCACGUCAAUUUUGAUAUCAUAAUGUGAUUUGUAUUGAUCUGAGGCUGCCAUCAGGAUGAGCUCAUAACUAUAUCAAAACCUCUGUUGAGUAAAUAAAGAACUUAUUUUGUAUGUGGAGGAUGAUGGAGCAUGGAAAAAUCACAGAAAGGGACCAGAAAAAAUACAAGCUCAGUGGGGAAAUUUUAAACAUCAAACAUUUUUUUUUUACACAAAAUACCAAAGGUCACUAGUCUCCCACAUCAAAUACACAGACAAUUUUUUUAAACAAAUCCAUUUCAGUCUGAGUCUUGAAACAAGUCUAAAGUAUGUGAUUUUGCAAAGAUGAUGCUGGGGUAAUUUUAAUUUUGUUGGUUUUCAAAUAUGAAGGAGGAACAAUUUGGGAUGUAAAAAGAGUGGGGGAGGGUGAAUGGCCCUUCAAUCCCUUCAGAGUGGUUGACAUUUGAAUAUGUGAUCCCAAAGUGCAAAAUUCCAGGAUCACAUUCAUUUGCGGACCUAAGAUAUCGCCAGUCGGGCAAAACAGGCUCCGAAAUGUGGCUUCGUGCCUGCUUUCAAAGAGCUAGCAGUCCCCUUUGUAUUCAACUAAAGCUAAGUUUAGCACCCCACACUUUGCCCAAGAUACAACCUCCACAUUUGUCUUGGCAACAGUUCAAGGAGGGGAUGGGAUUUGGUGGAAUCAGCAUGAAAAUGAUCCUCCGUCCAUAUCAUCCUGUCUGCAGAAGGCGGAUGGAGACCGAGGGCUUUCAGGCUGAGUUCCCGCCGACCUUAACUGGAAUAACUUGCUCUCUUUCACAUCUGCAGCUGUGUCCUCCUCAGGGAGUUGUCCAACUAAAUGUGAUUUUAAACAUCUGUCAGCUAAAUCAGAGCUCCAAAUUUAGCACUCGGGAACAUUAUGUGGAUUUGUGAUGCUCGCUGGAGAACACUGGAUCCAUAAACCAAGCUCACAUGAGACAGCCGGGUGGUACUCUGGUUGGUAAUUUCAUCUAUGACACAUUUAAUUUGGCUGUACAUUUAUGAAUGUUAUGUAAAGGGAAAGAGUGACCAUUUCCUUGCCGAAAUUCUUUCUGAAUGGCUGCAAGAUCAAUAGCAAGAAGGAAAAGCCUCUACCCUGGGAACGCAGACUAUAUCCAUAUCCAAUCAUUUGCCUGGAAUUUAAAAAAAAAAAAAAUCCCCCACAGGCUGGUUUUAUCUGAAUUUCCUGAAAUUCUAUUUUCCACCCCGAGCCAAUUUUCUGAUCCACUUAAAACUCUGUUCUGCUAUACCCAUCCCAGAAGAAAAGAAGUUGUGCAUACAGUCGUCAUUCUAAUUUGUCACCUUUGAAGAUGUCAAAUUGUAUGUGAAAGUCCUCUGGCUUCUUUUCCUUUGUUGUAUUGACGCUUCUGAGAUAUGUGCUGCUGUUAAGGAAAAUUAUGAGGCCAGCUCUUUGCUAAGGCAAGUCUCUGUGAUUAGCUAGGAAUUCUGAAUGCAUAUGGCAGUUUGCAGCCAAUCCUAUUAAUUCCCAAGAUCAUGGUACCCUUAAAGGGAGACAUAGGGAGAAAUAGCAUUACAAUACAAGAUGGGUUGGCGAUAGAUGAUGUAUAAAGCCUUGUGAAUUUUCUCUACAUAGGUUAGUGCAAAGUCUCAUAGCUUUUAGCGUUCAUUUCUCCAUUAAGCCUUCCUUGGUUUCUCAGCCAUGGAUAGUUACGCAUUUCUCUGAACUGCCAAGGCAGGUUGUACGCCUCUGCACUGGUAUUAAUGUGUGGGGUUGUUAGGGAGUGUCUUCAACACUGUGAUUUCUAUGGAGGCAGCCAUGGUGUUUGAUUUAUUCUGUAUACACAGGAUUAGGAUAGGCCCAAAACUCUAGUCCACUGACAUUGUACACAUAAUGAAUCAGUGUGUGAGUGAGGGGCACUAAUUUGAACUGCUUAAGAAUAUGCCAUUUGGUGCUGGGGAUAGAGCUCAGUUGGUAGAGUGCUUGCCUCCCCCUGAGUUCAAUCCCUAGCACUGCCAGGAAAAAAAAAAAAAGAAUAUGCUAUCUCAAGGCAAGCAGAGGUGGUGCAGGCACAUGGUUGAUCAAGAGAAAAGAAAUCUUAGAAAUAUGCCAUAGGUAAACCACAAGUAGAUCGUGCAAACAUGCCCGUGGACGGGGAAUUCACUCAACUUAGGUUUCUCUUGCUGAUAGAGGAAGAGAAGGCCUGUGAGAGAAACCAGAGACUAAGUGAAGACAUUUAUGAGCCAGGACACAGGGAGGGCAGUGCCAUAUAUAUGGAGUUGUUUGAAGGGGCUGAGCAGGAAGGCAUGAUAAUUAUUCCCUCUAUUCACCCCUCUUCUGCAAUGACAUACCUAUCUUGUAUUGUAGCUGGUGGGUUAGGAAAUGUAGCAAUAUUCAGAGGUGAAAAGAUUGGGUUGAGAGAGAAAGAUGUGACCUUAUCCAUGGAUUAAUCCAUUUGUUAGAUGAAUAAUUUAAAUGGACGACUGGGUGGUACCUAGGCAGGUGGUACAUGGAUGAAGUAAAUAGGUUACUGGGGGCAUGAGCUUUGGGAAUAUAUCUGUCCCUGGCCCCUUCUUUUCUUUCUGGAGCUGCCAUGAGCUGAGCAGCUUUUCUCUGACAGACUUUCUGUCAUGAUGUUCUGCCCCACUUCAGACUCAGAGCACUGGACUCUGCCAACUGUGGACUCAACUUCUGAAAGCACGAGUCCCAAAUAAACUUUUCCUCCUCUAAACUGUUCUUGUCAGGUAUUUUGGUCACAGCAAGGAAAAGCUAACUAACACACCUUGGGAGUCCAUAUAAGGAAACAGUUAAAUAACAGCUACUGUAGCGUCAGACAGACCAGGAUCCAAACCCCUAAUGCUGAGGUGAAUUACCCUGGAAACAAAGCUGAACAUCUCUGAGCUAACUCCUAGGGUGGAAGGGAUUAGACACAAGUAUAAGUAUCUGACACAUAGUAAGUGUUCUGUGUACUCAAAUUAUCAUCAUUACUAUGUUUAGUUUGGACUCUUGCUUACAAGUAAUAAAAAUGAAACAAAAACUGAUUUAUGUUUAAAAAAAAAAAAAAAAAGGUGUUUUUUGUCCCUGGGCUUUAGGGUGGGUUCUGUCACCUCUGCCCUUCUGUGCACACCUGUUUCACCCUCUCCCUCAGCUUCUUAACUCAGGUCCACAUCAUGGUUGGAGAAAAGCUACCUCCUGACCCUUAAACUGGCUUGCUGUAAGUUCAGCUCCUCCAAAAAGAGACCAACAUGAAUCCUUUUCCUGUCUUCAAUUUCACACCUCUGGGGGAAAGUUUCUGAGGAACUCACCUUGAAUUGGAGCUACUUCUGUUCACUCACUUAGUGAGGGUGGUGCAUGUACAGAGGCAGGAGUCAAAUGACUCCAAGGCCGCCAGAAGGCAACAGACAUGGAGGGAAGAUAGAUGUGGGAGAGAGAUCAUCACCAGAUGGACAGAUGCUGCAAAAAUCACCUUCAAACUACUAGGAUCAUGAAAAAGGAACAUUUAAAAAUGUGAAGCAAUACACAAUAUGCCCUUCCUUAUGAAAAAAAAAAUAUUUCAUACAUAUUAUGAUCAUAAGCUAUAAAGAUUUAUAGGGAACACAAAGAAAUUGUUGUUAUGCUAUGGUGAUGAUUUUUUAAUGCCCUUUGAUUUAAUAACAAAACUCUGUUGAAUGUGGAAAGCUCCUACAAGGAUUAAUAACCCUUGAGCCUUUGCCACCUAACACCUUAGCAGGGAUUAGUUGACAACUGGCUGAGAGCCAAGCCCCAAGGGGACAAACCCAGUCCAAAAAGGGGAGGGGGAGGCCAAAAAAUGCCCAGAGUGCUGGAGGCCAAGUCUCUUGCUCUUCACAGUGUGUGGACACUGAGGCCCUCUCUUCCUGGAAAGGGAGAAACCUGGCUCAGAAUUCUGAAGCUUCCAUCGUAUUUUCGCAGAACAUCAGUAAAUUCCAGGCUGGAGACAAGGCAGCUACUAGAAAACUCCUUUGGUAAUUUAAAAAUAAAUAAAUAAGCACAGGGGACAUUGUGAAAAGGCACCAAGUGGUUUUGGGGGCAAGACUGGUGACAGUUUCCAAAGGCCCUACAGACAUUCUAUAGAAACAAAGAAUCCCACGCCCACUCCAGCAGCCUCUGAGCCCAUCUGGCACUCUGUCCCCUGUUCCCACCCUUGGGCCCAGUGAAGAUGACCCGGGAAAAGUCUUUCCAUUUAGUCUUUGGCACCCUGCUUCUGCUAGCUUGAAUGUCAAUGUGCUGCUUCUUCUAAUGUUUCCCUCAGGGAUUGGGUAGGACAGAUGGUCACUGUCAUGUUAAAGCCAAAGACGUAUGAAGCAACUUUGUGAGCACUGUGAGAGCUUAACUCCUACCCCAGAGACAGACCCCCUGAGACUCUUGCCUGGACAGGGACCGAGGCUCUGAUGCAGUGGGUAAAUCACAUCCACAGCUCCGUCUGCAGAGAAGACGCAGUACUUUUGAUAUUGCUCAAGUUAGCUGCCCCAAGACACUGCCCAAAUGUUCCCUUAAACACUGCUUUUAUCUUCAGCAAAACUAUAUAUGGCCAGAACUCCAGAAAAAAUUCACUUUAGUCUAAGGGCUUUCAGUGAGUGUUCAAGACCCCGGCUUUACAAGAUUCUAAGGUCUGUUGCUGGAUUUUACCUUAAUCACAACCCUUAAUGUCACCCACUUGGACAGUUCCUGUGUCCUAUGGAGGAUAGACCUACACAGCUAUCUGUAUAACACUUAUGAAACAGCCAUGCAUUCAUUAGGUAGUGGAUUUAAAAAUUAUCAUAAACUUUAUGGCUUUAAACUAAUGAUUAUCAGGCUGGGGAUGUGGCUCAAGCGGUAGCGCACUCGCCUGGCAUGCGUGCGGCCCGGGUUCAAUCCUCAGCACCACAUACAAAGAAAGAUGUUGUGUCCACCGAAAACUAAAAAAUAAAUAUUAAAAAAUUCUCUCUCUCUCUCUCUAAAAAAAAUUAUUAUCUUGCAGUUGGGAGGUGAGAAAUCUGAAAUGGGUCUCAUGAGAUUAACUUCAACAUGUCAGUAGGGCUGUGUAGCUUUCCAGAGGCUCCAGGUAAAACUCCCCUGGAGUCCCCCCUUUUGCAGCUUACAGAGGCUUCCCAUACUCCUUACCUGGUGGCCCCUUUCCAUCUGCAAAGCCCGCAAUAGCAUGUCAAGUUUUCCCCGGCAUCAUUCCACACUGACUCUUUUGCCUCCCUCUUCAACAUCUGAAAGAUCCUUGUGAUUAUCUUGGUCCCUCACUUGUCAUCAGGAUAAUCUUGUUUUAAGGUCAACUGACUAGCAACCUUAAUUCCACAUGCAACCUUAAUAUCUCCUUGCCCUGAGGCAUAACAUGUUCUCAAGUUCUGGGGAUUAGGAUAUGGACAUCUCUGACACAGGCACUAUCCUGCCCACUGCAAGCAUCUAUUAUGUGCCAGGUUUUAACAUACUUCACUUAAUCCUCACUACAAUCCUAUGAAGUAGGUACUAUUGUUAUCAUCCCCAUUUUACAGAUGAGGAGAUUAGGACUCAGAGAGGGUCAUUGGCCUAAGGGCACACAAUAAAUGGCAGAUCAGGGACUCAAUGUAAGGCUUGUCCAGCUCUGUCAGCCAAUUUGACAAACUAAACAUGUUCUUCCUUCCUUAAGGGCUUUGUAUAUAUUGUUCCCUCUGCUCAGAACCCACUUCCCUUCUUUACCUAGUUAUCUUCUUCUCAUAUACCUAUUGUCACUUCCUUAGGGAAGCAGUCUCUGAUUUCACAGAUGAAGCCAUGGACUUUAUGUAUCAUAAUUAUGCUUUAUUAUUUGUGUGCAUUUCUUUCUGCAGAAUAAAAUUGCUUCUCCUUACCAGGGUCCUACAUGAACAAACCUCUGCCUUCUCCAGCUUCAUCUUCCUCUCUGCCUUAUCCCUCACUCUGGCCAUACUCAUCUUAUGAACUCACCAAGUAGCUCCCCACCUUAGGAUCGUUGCACAUACCUUUCCUCUAACUUGACUUCCCCACUGCUUUGCUUGAUUAAUUCCUUACUCUUCAGGCCCCAGCUUACAUGUAAGCUUACAAGAGUAAGGCUGGUCCAGGAUUGCAACUUCUCAUGGCUGUGUAUUUCCUUCAGGGUGCUUAUCACAAUAUCAUGGUUAUAAUUACAUGUUUAUUUGUGUAUUUAUGUGCUUAAUAUCAUCCUUGCUCCUAUGCCAAAUUUUAGGGCCUUGUACCAUGUCUAAUAAAUAAUAAGUAUCAGAGGAUACUUAAUAUAUUAGUGAAAUAAUGUAAUUUGAGCCUGUCCUGGUGGCUUUGGGGACAUGGAAAACUAUCAAACAGAGUCUAUUUAGAGAUACUGUGAAACUGUGAAAUAUUAUUGCCUUUGAUGUUCAUUAGAAGAUUCUACUUUUCUUUCUUUCUGCCUUUAUGCACCAUUCUUAAUUAGCGAGACUGGUCAAAAUCAGAGACUCUGAAUAAAACACAUAGGCCAUUGUAGGAAAAGGAUAAAUAAGCCUGAACUUUAAUAACCACCUCUUGUUUAUUGUUAUACAAGGAUAGCUCUGGUGGCUGAAAAACAAAGAAAUGUGUCUACUGGAUCUCAGGCAUCAGUGUACAUGAGAACCAUUAGGAGUUCUUUAUCUGUAUUUCAUGUGCAGAGAUUCCCAGUCAUAGUUCUAGAAAGCUCCCACCACAAGGUUGGAUGCUGAUCUUCCUCCCGGUCUUUGGACCACACUUUGGCAGUGGUGAGUGGUUCUCAAACUUUGGUCCUUACUACCUAGAGCCCACAGUUGAAGUAGGGUAGACCCCAUGGCUGUUGUUACCAAUUCUCACUAAAGUUUCAGAAACACUUGCUUUCAGACUUGGCUGCACAUUGGAAUCCCCUAAGGAUUUUUAAAAACUACUAAUGCCAGCAUCUCACCUCUAGAGAUUUAGAUUUGACUGAUCUGGAGUACAACCUGAGAGAAGGUUUAAAGCUCCCUAAGGGAUUUGAAUGCAUGUGAAAGCUUGAGGUCUUCUGACCUAGAGCAGUGAUUCUCAAAUUCAAAUGGCAUCAAAAUCACCUGGAUGGACUUUUAACCCAUGAACUCUUAGGCUUCACCCUCAGUUCUCCAUUCAGUAGGUCUGUCUGUGGCCUCAGAACCUGCAUUCCUUACAAAUUCCCAGUGGUUGUUAAUGACCCUGACCCAGGGACCACACUUUGAGAGCUGCCGAUCUAGGUGAGGAAAACCAAAUAGAUUGACUUUUCAGAUUUGAAAGCCCCAAGAAAUCAUUGAGGAUUUUGUAAUUUGUGUUUGCGGCAAGAUUUAUGAUAGGGAUAAGGAAUUGCGAGAUUGUAUGUUACUAACAAACUCUUCGGUGACACCUUUGCUGCUAGACCACAGACUUAACAUUGAAUAGUACAAUCUGGACUAUUUGGGUCCUAGUCCUGGGACAGAAUGCAGUCUCCAUAGUGUUGCUUACUUGGGCCAUGCAACGGGCUUUGUAUCGACAACCCCAGGCACUAAUAAAAUGUUCCUUUGUAAGGCAUUGUUCUCUCUGCAUAAAUUUUCCUCAGCAACUUACAGAAUAAGGAGGCUGAUACAGAUUAGGUUUUAAGUGUUCUUGUGUCUCUGGCCAAAAACUAUCUUCAUUUCACCAUGAUUUGCAACAAAACAAUACAAAUGACAGUAACUUGGGUCAGCUGCUUACUGUGUUUGCCUAAUUACCAUAUAGUAAAAGAAAAAAUAGUCAAAACACAUGUCAGAUUAGCUUGUGUGAGCUUUAUUUGAUUACAACAGUAACCUCCAUUCUGUAGGCUAACCUUCAUGGCUGGUUACACAUGUAAAAUGGUUGUCUGCUCACAACUUAAAGACAUCAGAGGGAACGCUGGGUAUUAGAGACAUGGUAAAUUAUCCAAUGCAUUGAUUUCCUGCAGUCAGGAAUGGUUAAAGCUGUGAUUGCUAUUUUAAAGGAUCUGUCUAUAUUCCUGCUUUCCUUGCUUCCAAUAUCCUAGCCAUCAGAGGGUGGGGAGGAAAGCAGAAGGAACAGAAAGAAAAAAAAUGGGAUUUAUAUAAACAUGAUAAAUCUGUUUUAUUACCUACAUUACACACUGGAUGUGUUUAAAAAAAAAAAAACUCUCAAUUCAGAGCAAUUGCUGCAAAUCACACAUUCCUGAUUGUAUGGCAGUAUUCCUGGUGGGAAAGCCAGAACUAGUGAAGGAUGGAUUUUAGCAUGUCCUAUGUGCUUAUUUAUGGUGCAGCACAUCAUCAAACAACACUUCACAGGCUCUAAGCUGGCAAACUGGAAGGCUUUGAAGAGAAAUAAUGAGCUGAGAGGUUCAUGACAUGCUAUUAAAAAGUUUGUGAUUGGAUUUGGAAAAUCAGAUGGGUCUCCAAGGGAAAGGGACCAUUUCUGAGCCAUUGCACUUAGAAUAUUUUUGAGCCCCAGAGCAGAUAUUUAUGAGAAGGGAGAGUUGUUUUUGUCUCAAAUCCAGGUUCUGACUCUGAUGUGUAGCAAGGAAGCCGCUUUGCACUGCAGACCUGAAGUGCUGGAAUUAUCCAUGAUGUCACCUUUUUCUACUGAUCUGCCUACCACCGCACAGAGGCAUACUAUUAGCUCUGUGACGUUUUUUGCUUAAUUCUCCCACAUGCAGGCUGCAAUUCCAGCCAAAACAAAGUCGGCAGGAGAUUUCACAGCCACUGAAUUGCUCAAGGUGCUCCAGGCUCAGGGAGAUGGGGGGAUCAGGUUGGGAUUCAUGCAUUAGGAAUGAAAAGAUGAACAGAAAGGAAAGGCAGCGGGACAGUGGGAUUUGGGGUUGCCUGGUGUGUGAAGCUUUUCGUCUUCCAAUCAGUGAUUUGAUGUUCCUUUUUCACCUUGGAGAUUUGCAGUGCUUUUCUGGCAUAUGUGAUAGAAUAAAGCACCCUGUUCCAUUUCCAGUGGUGAACCAGGGAGACCUGCUAGUGAAACUAUAAAGAAGACAUUUUAGGAUAUGAGAUAAUGAAAGAGAAUAGUAUUUAAAAAGAAACACACACACACACACACACAUAAACACACUCAGAGUAAUACAUAACUAGGCAAGCUCAAGAUGAAGUUAUGGUGAAGCCAUUUUCCCCAUUGCAGUGACACUUUAACUCUUUAGAUCCCGGAGUUCUCCUGCACUUAUGCAGCCUGAAAAGAUGGUCCCACAGCCGCCACCAUAAGGCCAAGAGGCACAGUACGUUGAAUCAGGAACGUCUAGCACACUUGGUGAGUGCUAUGAUCCUGAGCUCAAAGCACAUGAUCUCCAAUCUCUGAGCUCAAAGCACAGGGUCUCUGAGAUCCUUCCGUCUCACUCACAUUUCCCCACAAGUUCCAUAAUAACAAACACAUGACCCUUGCUUCCAGAUCUUCGGGAUUGACUGCACAGUAGGGCUGAGCUAUUGCUCCAUGAAAGAUUAUUUGUGAUCAUUAGGGAAAAAAGAAGGCAGGGCUUCAAAUGGUACGCUAAUCAAAAAGGAACAACUGCUGCCGCUUCUCCAGCUUACUUCGCAAAAGUCACAUGGAUGAUGGUCCAUUUCCAAGUCUGGUCCAGCCAAACUCUCAGAUGGAGAACUAUUUGUUUCUUAUGGGCAAAGCUGUUUUUUUUUUUUUUCUUCUCUCUCUCUGUCUCUCUCUCUUUCUCUCUCGCCACUGUGGGAAAAUGAACUUUUUUUCAGUCACCCCUGACAUCUGACCACUCAACUGAUCACGAGGACACUGCGGUAAACCACAACUCAACUUGAAAUUAUCUCUCUUAGGCACUGUUCCUGUACUUUGGAUGGCACCAUCCCUGGCUCUCAGCUUUGCCUUUCCUCUAUGGGGUCUCCAUUUCCCUUGUCUACUCAAAGGGAGUGGUUUUGCUCUGUUGUCUCCAAUUGGGCUUGUCCUCAAAGUAAGCAGAGUGCCAAAAUGACACCAGUUUUCCCAGCCAAGCCCUCAAAAAAUGGCCCAUUUAUACAUGGUGUCCUAAAAAGAAAAAAAAAAAUAGCAUGAAAACUUUAAACAUCCUGCAAAGGGAGGGGGAGCGCCAACUCUCUUGAUUAAUAUUGAGAUGAUCCAGCAGGGUUUAUACAUAUUCCUUCUGUUUGAAUCAUCUUGUUUUUUGUAGCUGUUUUACACCUCCAGGAUCCUGCCAUCUGCCUACUCUAAAGAAACACAGCAAAGUGUUCCAAAAACAAUGGUUGGGAGGGGAAAAAAAAUGUGAUCAAACCCAAGAAAUCGACUUCUCUGCACCCUUUUGGUUACUGCUGCUCUUCCUGGAGAGAAGACAGUGUGGUGUGGCCCAGAGGUUCAAGCCGUGGUGGGUUCACCUCCUAAUAAACAGCCCCCUGCACCCUGUCACGCCAUCAGGCUGACAAGAGAGAACUUGGUGUACAGAUCUGCCUGCCCUCUUGGCUGAGAAAGGAGGAGGAGAAGGAGGGGGUGGGCGGCGCCCUGGGCAGUUAUGUCCUACUCAGAUCUGGUGUGUGUCACUGGAAUAUAGGUCAGCAUUUGCUGGACACCUCAAGGCAGGCUGGAAGCCUGCAGACCUCAGAGCAGGCCCAGGUCUCCCCACCCACGUUCUCUUCUUGCACAAAACAGGUUAACAAGCCCAAAAAACACUGAGAGAGUCCUGCAGGACAGAUGAAACCAGUCUUCGCAUUUUGCACACAAAUCUGGGGAAAUCUAAAGCUUAGCAAGGGCUUUAUCAGUCCUGGGGUUGGGCCAAGGUGCAGGCUGUAGUUCAGAUGGCCUAGCCAAAUGCAGCUGCUGGCUAUUCACGCUUCCCUUGGGGACUUUUCCUCAACCCCUCAUUUAGAUAGUGGAGUGGAUGGGUAAUGUGCACGUAGCCACUGAGGAUGAUUCGAAAAGCAAAAUGACUUUCAAUUACCAUGCAGUUCAGGUGGAGGCAGAGAGUACAGAAAAGGUUUCCUUUCCAACAGCAAAGUGAGGUGACAGAGAGCUGCUGGCUUUGCAGAGAAAUGAUUAAUUUAAAGGGCUAUUGGCUAAUGCUUUGGGCUGGACACUUGGGCUCAGCUACCUCCCUUUCCCCCACAGUUCAUAGAGGGAUAAAGAUGUUACAUGAAUUGGAUUUUUCUUGUGAAUUAAAACAUUGAUGUCCUGAUUUGGGAUAACAAGCAUUGCCAAGUUAGUGCUGAGCAGACAGAAAGGAAUAAGUCUAAGGCUUUUGCCUUUGGGGAUAUGCAAAAAAUGUCCCCCCCAAAAAAAAUGUUCCAUUGAUUGUCCAAGGUCAUUGGGAUGUGCUUGCUCAAAAUGGAACUCAAGACUCCCAAAUCUCAGUGUCUGAAUAAUUGUUCUUUAACUAAAACAAUGAAAAUAAAGUGAAUUGGCAGAGGAUAUUGUUCCAGGCCAAGAAGUUCAGAAAGCAAGCAGAGCCAAGAAAAAUGGGAUUUUCUUUAGGCUGACAUCAAAUGCCUCAGUAAUAAUCUUCUAAAUUGAGUUUAUUAUUUUCAACACAGGCAUAUUUGUGAUUUCCCAUCAUGCAAGUUAAAUUUAAAUUUAGUGAGUAUUGCUGAGUGUGGUGGUGCACACCUGUAAUUCUGUCUACUAGGCCGAGGCAGGAGGAUCACCAGUUCAAGGCCAGUCUGGCCAACUUAGCAGGACUCUGUCUUAAAAAUAUAAAAUAAAAUAAAAUUUUAAAAAUAGUAUCUGCUAAGUUCCUGCACCAUGCAAGGAAUUUUUCCACAGAUGUAUGAUUUAGUCCUCACAAAACCUAGAGGGUCAGAAAUCAUUAUCACUAUUUUACUGAUGAAACUUACUAGGAUUAAAGUCCUGCUUGAGGUGUAAGUAGAACUGAGACUCAAACUCAGCUUUCCUAACUCCCUCUGGGUUUCAUAACCAUUCAGCUUAUAAAUAGCAUCUUGUUUUAUAUGUUCAUAUGUAGGUCGAUUGUUGUAAAUUUAAGCUUCCAGAUAAAAACAACUAUGAGCUAAAAUGGAGGUUUCUUUAAAUUACCUAUUUACAAUAUUGUUCCCAAAGAUAAAGAUUCUAAGAUGUAUUUGUAUUGGUCAUGAUUAAAUAGUGCAUAAGUUUAUAAAUAAACUCUAUGAGAAGUUACAUAACCUGAUUAAAAUCUGGUCUGGUAUUUAAAAUGCAUUGAUAUAUCCAGAUAUAAAGUAGUUUAGACCUUAUACAAAAAGAAUAUUGGCUUAAAAAUUUGACAAUUUACAGAUGUUAGCAAACAUGUGAUUCAAUGCUAAGUGCAUAUUGACAAGGCAGGGAGACAGAAGUUAAUUCAGUCAGCAUCUUAGUUGGAGAGGUUGUAUGCCAGCCUUUCUUAAAAUAGAGAGGGACAUAGUGUAAUUGUUUCUCUAUUUUUUGCUUUUCCUUUUUUUUUUUAAUUUUUUAUUGUGGGUUGUUCAAAACAUUACAAAUUUCUUGACAUAUCAUAUUCCACACUUUGAUUCAAGUGGGUUAUGAACUCCCACCUUCACCCCAUACACAGAUUGCAGAAUCACAUCAGUUACACAUCCAUUGAUUUACAUAUUGCCAUACUAGUGUCUGUUGUGCUCCGCUGCCUUUCCCAUCCUCCACCCCCCCCCCCCCCCCCCCCCCCCCCCCCCNUCCAUUUCCAUGCAAUUUCCCUUCUCUCUCCCUUUCCCUCCCACCUCUCAUCCCUGUUAAAUGUUAAUCUUCUUCUCCUGCUCUUCGUCCCUACUCUGAUCUUAGUUACUCUCCUUAUAUCAAAGAAGACAUUUGGCAUUUGUUUUUUAGGGAUUGGCUAGCUUCACUUAGCAUAAUCUGCUCUAAUGCCAUCCAUUUCCCUGUAAAUUCUAUGAUUUUGUCAUUUUUUAAUGCAGAGUAAUACUCCAUUGUGUAUAAAUGCCACAUUUUUUUUAUCCAUUCGUCUAUUGAAGGGCAUCUAGGUUGGUUCCACAGUCUUGCUAUUGUGAAUUGUGCUGCUAUGAACAUCGAUGUAGCAGUGUCCCUGUAGCAUGCUCUUUUUAGGUCUUUAGGGAAUAGACCAAGAAGGGGAAUAGCUGGGUCAAAUGGUGGCUCCAUUCCCAGCUUUCCAAGAAAUCUCCAUACUGCUUUCCAAAUUGGCUGCACCAAUCUGCAGUCCCACCAGCAAUGUACAAGUGUACCCUUUUCCCCACAUCCUCGCCAGCACUUGUUGUUGUUUGACUUCAUAAUGGCUGCCAAUCUUACUGGAGUGAGAUGGUAUCUUAGGGUGGUUUUGAUUUGCAUUUCUCUGACAGCUAGAGAUGGUGAGCAUUUUUUCAUGUACUUGUUGAUUGACUGUAUGUCCUCCUCUGAGAAGUGUCUGUUCAGGUCCUUGGCCCAUUUGUUGAUUGGGUUGUUUGUUCUCUUAUUUUCUAAUUUUUUGAGUUCUUUGUAUACUCUGGAUAUUAGGGCUCUAUCUGAAGUGUGAGGAGUAAAGAUUUGUUCCCAGGGUGUAGGCUCCCUAUUUACCUCUCUUAUUAUUUCUUUUGCUGAGAAAAAACUUUUUAGUUUGAGUAAGUCCCAUUUGUUGAUUCUAGUUAUUAACUUUUGUGCUAUGGGUGUUGCUUUUCCUUUUUGAAAAAGGAAAGAUAUGGGGAUAGGAGAAAUAAAUUAAAAGUUCUAGGAGUACUGCUGGGCACAGUGCAUACCUGUAAUCUCAGUGACUCUGGAAGCUGAGGCAGGAGGAUCACAAGUUCAAAGCCAGGCUCAGCAACUUAGCAAGACCCUGUCUCAAAAUAAAAAAUAAAAAUAAAGGGCUGGGAAUGUGGCUCAGUGGUUAAACACCUCCUGAUUUCAAUCCUUGGGACCCCCCCCUCCCGCCCCGCAAAAAAAGAAAAAAAUUAGUUCCAGGAAUACAGAUGUGAAAAAAAUAGACAGCACUGACUCUCACCAUCCAGGAGGGGAGGAAGACAUGUAACCAAAACAUAAUGAGGGAUGAAGAAGUAGGAAUGUGUGGGAGGCACAAAAUCAGCACAGAGAAGGAAGUCAUGACCCCCAAGACAGUGAGAGAGAAGGGACGGUGUGGGAAACCCCCACAAAGAGGAAAACCGGACCUAGAAUUUUAAAACUUCAGCCAAGUGGGUAAUGGAAGAAAGAAGAAGUCUGUAAGAAAGGCACGGAGCACGAAACAGGUUGACAUUUGGGGCUUAGGAAGAAUCUAAAGCUGUUGCAGGGGACAGCACAGGAUAAGUGUGGGGAGAAACCAAGUAGUGAAGUUGCUAGGAGGUUGCGUGCGCGAGGAGCCACUCUCUGGUUUUAAAACACGGACAUGAGUUUCUGAAAAGUUGCUUCUGUGGUGUCCGAAUAGUUGGUCAUCUGAACAACAAAAUGAAAAGCUGGUUGUUUCCAAAAAGUAAUUAAAUAGACAAACUCCCAGCAUGAUUGCUGUUUUUUUUUAAAGGAGGAAGAAAUAAAUAGUACCAGAUAUGAAAAGGGACAGUGAAACAGAAAAAGUAAAUAUUUAAAAAUCUUAAGAGAAUCACAUGAACAACAUUAGGUCUAUAUAUUUGAAAUCUUGGAUACACUGUACAAUUUUUAGAAAGCAUAAAUUGUGAAAGUUAACUUGAGAAGAAAUUGACACUCAGUAAACCUAUAACAAGAAAGGGGGAAAAUAGGGCUGGGGUUGUGGCUCAGUGGUAGAGCACUUGCCUCACAUGUAUGAGGCCCUGGGUUCCAUUCUCAGCACCACAUAAAAAGAAAUAAAUAAAAAUAAAGGGAAAAAAAAGGAUCAUAUCAAACUUUAAAAAAAGUGGGGGGAAUUAAAUCAAUAGUGAAAAAUAUGUCAUAAAGGAAUACAAUUUUAGAGACAAUAAUUUUUUUCCCCAAAAUCAAAAGAGUCAGGCUCAGCAACUCGGGAGUCUAAGGCAGGAGGACUGCAAGUUAGAGGCUAGCCUCAGCAACUGAGCAAGAUAAAAAAUAAAAAGGGCUGGGAAUGCGGCUUAUUGGCUAAGUACCCCUGGGUUCAAUUCCUGGUACCAAAACAAAAACCAAAAGCAUAUUAAAGGAAAAUAUAAUAACCUUUAAUAUUAUAAAUAUAAAAAUAUUUCAUAAUAUUUUACAAAGUCAGAUAAGGAGAGAAUGAUCAAUCUUGCUUAUGGGCAGAGAUACAAGAAUGUUAAAUAUUAGCAAGUGAUCCAAAGUGACCAUGAACAAAUAUCAUAAGAUAAAUAUCAUAUGGCAUUAAAGAAUUGUUUAACAUUGAAAAAUCAAUUAUGUAAGUUAUCACAUUGACAUACCACAUAGACAAUGGAAAAUAUUCAAUAAAAUUCUGUACCUACUUAUGAUUAAGAAAAAAUUUUAUUUUCAUACCAGGUAUUGAACUCAGGGACAUUCAACCACUGAGCCACAUCCCCAGCCCUAUUUUGUAUUUUAUUUAGAGACAGGGUCUCAUUGAGUUGCUUAGUGCCUUGCUAAGUUACUGAGGCUGGCUUUGAACUCAUGAUCCUCCUGACUUAGCCUCCUGAGCCACUUAGAUUUACAGUCGUGUGCCACCAUGCACAGCUAAAAAAAUUUUCUUUUCUUUUUUUUUUUUUGCCAACUGGUUUGAAUCAUAGCUCCAUGGCUUAUUAAUUAUUAAAUUUUAAUUUGGGUAAAAAUAAUCUAAGCUUUAUAUGAAAAAGGAAACGAAUAGCUUAAAGGAGGAACGAGAGUGGAAGCAAAGGGAAUAAUUAGGAAGAGGUCAUCGUAGCAAAGCCAGGUAGGCGGUGAGAGGUGUAGAAAAGCUGGAAAAAAAAGUCCCCAUGGUGGCAACAGAGAAGAGAGCGGAUUUCAGUGACAACUUAGGGAAGAUUGGCAGAGCCUGGUGAUUGACUAGCUGUGGGAGGAUGGUUGUAAUGAAGACAAAGGAGUCUAUUAUGACUCUCAGCUUUCUGGACUAGGUGGCUGUUUGGAUGGUAAUUCAUUUAAAUAAAAAUAGAAAAAACAGUUUGAAGAUCUGUCUGAAAUUAGCAAGGCUUUCUUGCAUGAGGGGUGAAAAAACUGUUUAAGAGAACUGAGUGCCAGCAGCCUAGAGUUAAGCUUUUGCAAUCACUAGGUAUAUCGAUAUCAAGAAAGAGAGAGGGGAAAAGGGGUCAGUGGGGAUACCCUGCAGCUUUCAAAGGCCAGACUAGCACUGGGCCUGGCAGAGUAGCCACUCAAUAAAGGUUUGAGUAAGUAGUCCAAAGCUACCAGUAGUUUGCUUAGUAUAUGGAUCUAUAAGGAGAGGAAGUUUUGGGAUACCCAGAAUCAAAGAGAUAAGAAAAAAUAAAGGUUACUUCAUAAUAAAGAUUACUUAGACAUAAGUAGUGCCCAAUAAUGGUAACAAUCAGGAUAAAAGUAUUUCUAACGUUGAAAACAGAGCAAAGAGAAAAAGACAUUUCCAUUUUUUUGUCUUCUUAAAUUUUGCUCUAUCAUAUAUUUCAUUAAGCAUUUAUGGGUAGUUAUUACAUUUUUGCAUUGAAGUUAAAUUUUUGUUCACCAAAUGUUUAAUUUUAUAUAUAGCAAAACAUAAUAUUUCAGUCCUCACUGAUUCCAAUGUGCCCAAGGCCCUGUGUUCACCUGCAGCAACCUCCAAAAUUGCCUUUUUCUUCUUCCUCCUUCAUUUCUCCAAUUUUCCCUCUCAACUUAAUAACAUCCAUGGAUGUCCCAUCCACUAUGCUGUAGCUUGAAUAUGUAUUAUAAUCUAUAGAAACAAACCACGCCAAAUCAUUAUUUUAUUAUAUAAGCACAGUGCAAGCAAAUAAAUGUGUACACCAUCAAGAAAUUAACUGACUAAACAUUUCCACUCGGGCUGAGAAAAGAAUGGACUCAACUGUAGGACUCUUCCAAAGCAGUAAUAUCCACUGAAGGCAGCAUCAGGCAUCUAUGGAGUGGCUUUGGUAAUAAUAAGACCAGUAUUCUUCAAAAUGGUUGAAAAUAAGGAAUGCUAAAAAAGUACAAGUGGCCCUUCUAGAGUUUGGGUGUCCAUUUCAUAAUUGCCUGGUGUUUACACUUCAACCUCUUGGACAUCAGAUUUCAGAUGGCAUUACCCAGGGACCAAAUUCAUAUCAGAAGGAGAAUGUACUAGAACCCUUUGCCAGGAACAGUCUCCUGCUGAUCCAAUCCAAGUGGCAAGAUCCACAGCAGGACAAAGGAACUUUUGAAAGGCACUUGAAAAGAGUUCAGUUACUCUGCGGUUAACCCAUCAAAGGCGUCUUCCUGUAACCCAGAGGACAGCAGGCCUCGACAUGUGCUGGCCAUUUGGAAAACAGAUUCAUACAGAGCAGAUCAAAGAUUUCAGGAGAGCCCCUUGCCUUGAAAAGAUGAAGCCUUAUGAAAAUCAUUAAGCAAUUCAUUGAUAUUUAUUUGCUUACACUGUGCUUCAGCAAAGCAGGCAGGAAGAUGAGGAUGAGAGCCAUGACCCAGUUUCAGAAGGGGCCCUAGCUCAGAAAAGAAGGGUUCCCUUACAUGCCUGAGUUUAAAGAGACUUUUAAGAGGACAUCCUACCACAUGGCUGGCAUACAAGGCUGUCUUGGCUCCCUUCAGCUGUGAAUUAGGUUAACAGCCACCUCAAGCUUCUUAGAAACCUAGAAAUCCCCAGGCAGUUAGAGAAAUUCCAUGGAGCUAAGAAAACCUUUGCAAUCUCCGAGCUUUAACCAGAAAACGAUAUUUCCCAACAUCUUCUUUUCUCCAUCUGUGGGACUUUGUGUAAUUUACUCCCAGCCUCGUAAAACAUGGGUGCCCCAUAAUCAGUCCCUCCCAAUGCACAAAACUCUUAAUUCAUGUCUCAGAUCCUGUAGACCAGGAAAUGAACAAGGAGCAAAGCCUUAUUUUCACCUUGGAAAUUACCAGGUUAUUGUGCAUGGAGUUUCUUCUAAAACCAAACUAAUUCCUCUGCCCGAUAGAGGGAACUUUGCUUGCUUUAAAGUUUACCAAAGUAGUCCCUUCUGAGUCUCAACUUCUCCUUUAUGUGGAAGCAAAAUUCCUUUGAUCAGAGACCGGUCCAACAGAAUGCCAUCAUCCUUACACUUGGGGCUUUUAAAUGAUUGUACUUGCUUCAUCUGUGCUGUGGAAGGUACCCGAUGCAAAACCUCUGAAUCCCAGGGGGCCCUGGGGAGGAGGCUGACUCUAGGGAAUUAGACUCCGCUUCUCCCACAUUACAGAGGUUGCAAAUCUACCCUCAAAUAUUCAACACAUAUGUUCUGAAAUUCAUUAAGUCCAAAAAUUAAGAAACAAAUUUUUAAAAUCCAGCAUUGGUUCUUGUAAAAAGCAGAUAGUCGAGAAAUGCUUGUUGACUGUUUAAUUUGUUAGCUGAUAAAUGUGAGAAAUACAGUCUGCUAUGUACCACCGGACAGCUGAUGUUGCUAGGAAGACAUUUGUCUUGUUUGCCAUUAUGCAAGUUUGAGAAAAUGAAUUAGCCAAACCCUGCCUGUGUUUGAAGAACAACCUUUCUCAAAAGGUCUUCUUAAAACUCUCCUAUUUAUUAUUUGGGGAUGGGGAGGGCACAAAUGUCACUUGGCUUUAAAUUGUCUAUUAACUUUUUAUUAUCUCCAAAUAAAUUCUCAAAGGGAAGAAUUUUGUCAUAUUAUGUAUUUUCUUAUAUGUGGGGGGUGUCUUUCAUAAUCCAGGAUUCUUGCUCAAAGCAAAUACUAAGUAAUUGUUGACCAUGGACAUUAGAAGUACAGUUUGGUUUGUAUCAUAUGGCAGUUAAGCUUGGAAUACACAAAAAGUACCAUUCUCUGCUACUUUCCUAUACUUAGAAGAUAUAUUAUUUUAGAAAAACUUUUUCUGUGAUUUCAAGGUAGUUUUGGAUACCAGUACUUAAAUAUUUAUGCACUAAGAUAAGAAGUACAUAAAUAUUAUUACCACAUAUAUUGCAACAUGGCUGUGAUAUUUUCUGUUGCUUGAUGGAGACAUUGGCUAAUUCCUAAUAGGCCUCAUGACAGCUGUUUCUAUAGUAGAUGGAGCAGUCUUAAUUAUAAUUACUUCAUCUUUGUAGAUGAAGUAAUUAGUCUUUUCAGAGUAGAGUAUUACCCCUUCCCCACGGUUCACUUUCUGUGUAGUUACUUACAGUCCUGUGGUCCCAAAAUACUAAUAUUUGUCUUAACUCGUUUUGAGGGGUGUGUGUGUGUGUGUGUGUUUGUGUGUGUGCGCGCCCAUGCACGCAUGUGCCUAAGAGAGAAAAGAGGGAGACUGCAUUCACAUAACUUUUAUUAAGUAUAUUGUUAUACUUAUUUUAUUAUUAGUUACUGUUGUCAGUCUCUGACUGGACCUAAUUUAUGAAUCAAACUAUAUCAAAGGUAUAUAAAUGUGGAGAAAAGCACAGUAUAUAGAGAGUUUGGUAUUAUCUACAAUUUCAAGUAUCCACUGGGGGUCUUCAGAUGAAUCCCCCCAAGAUAAGGGAAGAUGUUGUACAAGAUCUAGUCUAUGAUGCUUUUUGUACUGAAGGAAGGAAGAAAGAAAAUUUUUUAAAAGUAAAAGAAGAAACUCUAUUAAAGUGUCUACAUAUGUGAUUUAACCAUGUAUUAAUACAGAUAUGAACAUAUUAAAAAUGUCAAUAUAGUAUAUUUAAAAGAAAAGAAAAUCAUCCCCAGAAAUAUAAUUUAAGGAUCUUUCUCUCAUAAGACUUGGUUAUCAAUGACCCCUUUACCCAACUCUGACUUCCAAGUCUAAGAAAAACUCAGUCUUUCAAAAUUAGAGACCUUCUAAGUAGCUCUGUAACUUAGUGACACCUUCAGUGGGGAUGUUCUUCAAGAAGGAAGCCUAGGAGAUGGGCAUCUGUAGAUGCUGGUUCUGGUCACAGCUAGGCCACUAGCUAGGCCACAUCACUUAAUGAUUUUUGCCCUGGACUCUGCAGGUAUCACCCCCCUCUGUGCAUCACUCUAUCAAGGUGGGGGCUGUUUAUUUUAUUUGCACAGGGCUGGCACUUGCAUGAUAAGUUCUCAAUGCUUUUUUGCGGAUUAAAUGACUUACUAUAUCAGCUUUAUGAAAUCAACGCACAGUGCCACUUAGUGUAUGAAGAACCUGAAGUGGGAAGAGAAGAAGGAAUUAUUUGAGGACUCGAUAGAGUCUGACCCAAACUGCUGCCUCCUUGGCCAGCGUCUGUGUUGAGCAGCCCUUACUAGGGCACCACCCUCCUCAUUAUGUCUGAGGGCUAUCUUCAAGGGUAAACUUUCCUUUCACUGGCAGGUUAAAGAAACUCUUUCGAUCCCUUGAGACUUAGCUAAAAAGGCUAAACCAUCAAGACCUAUAAAAUAGUGUUUCCCUGUGACCUUCUUUCUAAAUCAGGAAAUGGUUACUUAGGCCCCAUAAAGCCAGCUCAGAACUCAACCUCCUCCUCCUUUAUCAAGACUUCCUUGACUUGGAAAGUGGUUUCUAUGACAAGAAGUGUGCCAACAGUUUUUACAGGCGCCAAAGCCUCCACCUCUUUCUUAAAGGAGACAGGACUUUUUCUUCUCCAGAACUUGAUGAUACGGUUAAACAAAAACCAACCCUUAUCAAACAAUGGUACACCACAGGUUCCUCAGAGUAUUUUAGAAACCUUGCCAUAUCUUAGGUUUUUAACCUAAUACAUCAAACAUGUGACAUAAUUGUUUACUAUCAAUCAUCACAUAAAUAUUCUACUCAAAGGUCAAAGAUUUCUAAAGAGGUAGACAGUAAGCAGAGAGUAGCAAAAACUUACUACAUAUAACUUCUUAAUUAAGUAAAUGUAUUAUGUUUACAGCAGCCCACAGUUAUAACAAGACCUGAAAUAGCACAUGACUCCCCAAUCCAAAACCUGUGAAAUUUAGUACAAUAGGAUUCCACAUAUGCAAUAAUUUUACCAUAUGAAUCAAGAGAAAUAUUGGUACAUAUUGAUCAUUUUUACUGAAUCCACACAGUGACAAAAAUCAAUGGAAAGAAUUUGGAGAGAAACUAGUAGUAGAUUAAUUUCUCUAUGAUACAAAUGGAAAAAUUCCUGAAUCUGGGUGGAUGGGUAGAUGGGGUACUUUGAUAAAUUAAUAUAAACAUUUAUAAUGCUGCAGUUGAGAUUACAAUAUUAUCCAGGAAGCUGCCAUGCAUUCAUAUUAAAUAAGAUAUUAUAUGUAAAUCACACCACCCAAUGUUUGGCAUGUGACUUUGGUUUUGUUUUAGCUAUAGUCACUGAUUCCCACCGAGGCUCUUAGGAGGAAAGCUUAUAAUAAAAUUAUAAAAUUGGAUAUCACCCCUGGUUUGACCAUGUUUAACAUUAGUGGAAUUUAUUUUGGAUCUAUGUUAGAGACGAAUUUAUUUCUAUGUGAACCCCAUAAACACAACUGUCAAAUAUGUCCUCUCCUCCAUGCCCAGCCUACUGAAAUGUCACUCAUUCUGCAAGGCUUAUCUUGAACACCACCUCCCCAUUAGGUCUUUCUUGAUCUCUCCUCGUAAGCAAACAUUUUCUUGCUGUAUCAAGCCUUAAAAACAUUUGUUCUUGCCCCCUAGAUGAUACUUACCUGGCUCUGCCUGUUUUAUUACUAUCUCUUUGCUUUAUCCCCUAUUAGAUUUUAAGGCCCUUGAAAAACAGGGAUCAGACUUAUCUUUAUAUUUCCUACAGGCUGAGCACAGGGUGUUGAACUUAAGAAGCUCAAUAAAAGUGUGUUGAGUUGCAGUGAAUCGUGACCCUCCCUGGCUACCAGGCCCUCAGCCAGCUUUGGAGUGCAGGACACAAUAGGUCCUUGUAUUCACUGCUGUGCACACCCACAAACAUACACUAAACACCUGCAAACACUGGGACACUCAGUUACUUGGCAAAUACUUGCCCUCCCAGGGUGUCUUCCCUUUUGAAGAGUCUUCUCUGUCUGACAGCUGGCCUGCUGCUCCUUAGAUGGGCACUCCCUGGAAAGGCCCAUCUCUGCAGAAAAUGGCCAAAAAUCACCGCACGAGCAACCAAGGGAAGUGAAGGGGUGAAGAGUCAAUGCCAGGAAUGUGCUUUCAGGCUUAAAGAUGAGAGGGAAACUGGGGAGCACUGCAAAGGGGGCAAAUGUCCUUGCAUUUGCACUGAUGCCUCCUCCCUAUCCCUUCCUGGUCCCUUCUCAUGUCCUUCUUGACCCUUCCUUCUUCUUCCCCUGCACCCAAUCCUCCACUGUCAUUUGGUCUUGCAGAGCUUGGAAUUCAAUCUUAAUCCCCAGGGAGGGGCAUCCGCUCUGGGGAGGUCACGACUGUCUCCCACUUCCUCUGUGGGAUGCUCUCACAAGAUGCUGUGGUGGCAAAGCUUGCUGCUCUUUAUUAAAUACAAAUUGUACUGACCAGUUUCCAGGAAAUUUAGUGGAAAGUUGAUUCCCCCCAAACCCUCAAGACAUUUCCCAGAUCCGGAGAGGAUUAUUAUUAUUGCUAUUAUUAUUUACAAAGCCCACAUCUUUAAAAAAAUUUUUUUUUCUUAAAAGAACAAGGUAAAGCAAGUAUAAGCCUGCAGCUUCCGGAAUAUGUGCUGACAUCCUGCUUUCUUCACAGGAAUAAAAUAACCUGGCAAUUCUGUUUGGAUAGCAAGAUAGAAGGAAAUGGCCUCUUCUGGAAGUCCAGACAGGUUGCCAGAUUUGGCAAAUGAAAACAUGGGAUGCCUCAUUGAACUUGAAUUUCAGAUAAGUAAUGCAAAAUGUUUCAGUGUAAGUAUGUCCCAUGCAGUAAGUUUCAGUGUAAGUAUGUCCCAUGAAAACAGUUGAACAGUUCAAAUUUAACUGGUCAUCCUUUAUUUUACCAGGCAAACCUAAUCCCAGAGAAAGUCAGGACAGUGAAGAGAUUUCCACCAACAAAAGCUUCUUUUAAAGCCCUAGCUGAAUGGCUUUGGACGACAUUUCAACUCAGGCUCUACAUUUUCCCUGGAGUGUGAGCUCAAUGUCAUAGAAUAACAAUUGGGAGAAUGAACAUUCAGUGAACAUUCUGCCCCUUCCCUGCCCUCCACAGCCUGUGGCAAACUGCUCUCCCUCAACCAGCUGAGGAGUAAAAAAGUUUUCUCUUUAAA
rnacentral:lncRNA from 1 species